GAUGAAGAACGCAGCGAAAUGCGAUAAGUAAUGUGAAUUGCAGAAUUCAGUGAUUCAUCGAAUCUUUGAACGCACCUUGCGCUCCUUGGUAUUCCGAGGAGCAUGCCUGUUUGAGUGUCAUGAAAUUCUCAACCUUUUCAGCUUUCUUUGUUGAUCAGGCUUGGAUGUGGGAGUAUGCGGGCUUCUCAGAAGUCGGCUCUCCUGAAAUGCAUUAGCGGGACCUUUGUUGCCUGGCUUUGGUGUGAUAAUUAUCUACGCCAUUGUAGUCAAGCAGCUUAAAAUGAGGUUUCAGCUUCUAACCGUCUCCCCUGAGACAACUUUUUGACAAUUUGACCUCAAAUCAGGUAGGACUACCCGCUGAACUUAAGCAUAUCAAUAAGCGGAGGA
rnacentral:misc_RNA from 1 species